rnacentral:rRNA from 1 species
GAUGAACGCUGGCGGCGUGCCUAAUACAUGCAAGUCGAGCGAACAGACGAGGAGCUUGCUCCUCUGACGUUAGCGGCGGACGGGUGAGUAACACGUGGAUAACCUACCUAUAAGACUGGGAUAACUUCGGGAAACCGGAGCUAAUACCGGAUAAUAUAUUGAACCGCAUGGUUCAAUAGUGAAAGACGGUUUUGCUGUCACUUAUAGAUGGAUCCGCGCCGCAUUAGCUAGUUGGUAAGGUAACGGCUUACCAAGGCAACGAUGCGUAGCCGACCUGAGAGGGUGAUCGGCCACACUGGAACUGAGACACGGUCCAGACUCCUACGGGAGGCAGCAGUAGGGAAUCUUCCGAAUGGGCGAAAGCCUGACGGAGCAACGCCGCGUGAGUGAUGAAGGUCUUCGGAUCGUAAAACUCUGUUAUUAGGGAAGAACAAAUGUGUAAGUAACUAUGCACGUCUUGACGGUACCUAAUCAGAAAGCCACGGCUAACUACGUG